CGGUGGAGCAUGUGGUGCAAUUCGACGCAACGCGAAGAACCUUACCUGGGCUAGACAACGGAGGACCGCUCCAGAGAUGGCUUCCGCCUCGUCAGGUGUGACGAGCGCAACCCCUGCCCUUAGUUGCCAGCGGGAUGUCAAGUCUCAUGGCCCUUAUGUCCAGGCUACAUACGUGGACGGUACAAGGGCUGCGAAGUCGCGAGACGGAGCCUCCCAAAAAGCCGUCCUCAGUUCGGAUCGGAGUGCAACUCGACUCCGUGAAGGUGGAAUCGCUAGUAAUCGGGAUCAGCAUGCCGCGGUGAAUACGUUCUCGGGCCUUGUACACACCGCCGUCACACCAUGGGAGCCAGUUGUACCGGAAGCCGGUGAUCCAACCCGCAAGGGAGGUAACCGUCCAUGUAUGGCUGGUGACUGGGGUGAAGUCGUACAAGGU
rnacentral:rRNA from 1 species